rnacentral:rRNA from 1 species
GACGAACGCUGGCGGCGUGCCUAACACAUGCAAGUCGAACGGAAAGGCCCUGCUUUUGUGGGGUGCUCGAGUGCCGAACGGGUGAGUAACACGUGUGUAACAUGCCCUUGUCUUUCGGAUAACUUCAGGAAAAUCGGGCUCAUAUCGCAUAGGAGCUCUUGCUGCAUGGUGGGGGUUGGAAAGUUUCGGCGGUUGGGGAUGGACUCGCGGCUUAUCAGCUUGUUUGUGAAGUAGUUGCGUACGAAGGCUUAGACGGCUAGCCGGCCUGAGAGGUGAACCAGCCACAAUAGUCCUACGGUACGCAGCAGACGACUACGUGCCGCAGCGGUCGAGAGCAUUACAGAAUAGGCGGGAGCCAGAUGCAACAACGCCGCGUGCGGGAUGACGGCCUUCGGGUUGUGAACCAAUGUGGCCUGAAACGAGCCGGGAGUGACGGUAAUGGGUAAAGAAGCAACGGCUAACUACGUG